rnacentral:rRNA from 1 species
GGUCCUAAGGUAGCGAAAUUCCUUGUCGGGUAAGUUCCGACCUGCACGAAUGGCAUAACGAUGGCGGCACUGUCUCAACCCGAGACUCAGUGAAAUUGAAUUCGCAGUGAAGAUGCUGUGUACCCGCGGCUAGACGGAAAGACCCCGUGAACCUUUACUAUAGCUUUACAUUGAACUUUGAACCUACUUGUGUAGGAUAGGUGGGAGACUGUGAAUCAGGAACGCUAGUUCUUGUGGAGUCGUCCUUGAAAUACCACCCUGGUAUGUUUAAGGUUCUAACCAAGUUGAAGACCUCAACUGGGACAAUGUAUGGUGGGUAGUUUGACUGGGGCGGUCUCCUCCAAAAGCGUAACGGAGGAGCGCGAAGGUACCCUCAGCACGGUCGGACAUCGUGCAAUGAGUGCAAAAGCAAAAGGGUGCUUGACUGCGAGACUCACACGUCGAGCAGGUACGAAAGUAGGCUUUAGUGAUCCGGUGGUUCUGUAUGGAAGGGCCAUCGCUCAACGGAUAAAAGGUACUCCGGGGAUAACAGGCUGAUACCGCCCAAGAGUUCAUAUCGACGGCGGUGUUUGGCACCUCGAUGUCGGCUCAUCACAUCCUGGGGCUGAAGUCGGUCCCAAGGGUAUGGCUGUUCGCCAUUUAAAGUGGUACGCGAGCUGGGUUUAGAACGUCGUGAGACAGUUCGGUCCCUAUCUACCGUGGGCGUUGGAUGAUUGAGGGGGGCUGCUCCUAGUACGAGAGGACCGGAGUGGACGAACCUCUGGUGUUCCGGUUGUCACGCCAGUGGCAUUGCCGGGUAGCUAAGUUCGGAAGAGAUAACUGCUGAAAGCAUCUAAGUAGGAAACUUGCCCCAAGAUGAAUCAUCCCUAAGACUUUAAGUCUUCUAAAGAGCCCUUAUAGACCAUGAGGUUGAUAGGAUGGAUGUGGAAGUGUAGUAAUACAUGUAGCUUACCAUUACUAAUUGCUCGAGAGGCUUAACCAU